AUGGGGCAUGGUUUUUGUGAAGAGCGCAAACAAAUGCGCGGGUUGUUCCAUACGCUUCGGCAGCCUUCGCAAGACUCGAAUGGAAAUCCCAAUUUUGGAAUCGCAUCCACCCACUGGGACGCAGCAGCCCAGCUUGGGAAAUGGUCACGGUCCCUCACUUUGAAAGAAUGGGUGGUCCCUCCUCUGCUCUUCAUCUUCAUCUUGAUCGGCCUCAUACUCACUGUUCAUGUUAGAUCAUCAACGAGCACUGAGGCCGCUGCUGCUGCUGCUCGUCAUUAUUCAAUUCCAUUUAAUAGAAGUAGCUUCCCAGCUAGUUUCAUCUUCGGAGCCGGUAUCUGCUGCUUACCAGACUGAAGGAGCAGCACAUAUCCAUGGAAAGGGACCAAGUGUAAGGGAUACUUUCACUACAAAACAUCAAGAAAAAGCAACUGAUGGUAGCAACAGGAAUGUAGCGGAUACAUCGUUAUAAGGAAGAUGUGAAAUUGAUGGAAAAAGUUGGUUUCCACUCCUUCAGAUUCUCAAUUUCUUGGUCAAGAAUAUUACCUAAGGGAAAAGUGAAAGGUGGAGGGAACCAAGAAGACGUAGAUUCUACAACAAUCUUCUAAAUGAGCUCUUGUCAAAUGGAAUAGUACCUUUUGUGACGCUUUUCCAUGUACUGGGAUCUACCACAAGCUCUUGAAGAUGAGUAUGGUGGAUUUUUAAACCAUAAGAUUAUUGGUGAUUUUCAAGAUUAUGCCGAUUUUUGUUUCAAAACAUUUGGUGACCAAGUUGCACAUUGGAUCACCCUGAACGAGCCAGUUACAUUCUGUGUCAAUGGGUUCAAAUCGUACAAUGGUGGAACCAAUGCACCUGGUCGAUGUUCUAACUAUGUCGGAAAUUGCACAGCCGGUAACUCUGCCACAGAGCCUUACAUUGCAGGCCAGCAUCUGCUUCUUGCUCACACACACUAGAUUUCAAGUUAUCAUGGACCAUACUCUUGAAUAAUAAUGCAGACUUAUCAAAAAGGGCAAAUAGGGAUUUCAGUUGUAACAUACUGGUAUUUAGCAAAAUCGGAAACUGCUGCAAGCAAGAAGGCAGCUUCUAGGUCUCUUGAUUUUGUUUAUGGAUGGUUUGCUCAUCCUGUUACAUUCGGUGACUAUCCUCAAACCAGGAGACCUUCUGUGGCUGAUCGGUUGCCUGAAUUCAGCAAAGAAGAAACUAAGCUCCUAAAAGGAGAUUUCCUUGGUGUCAAUUACUACACAAGUAGUUAUGCAGAGGCUUCCUCACUUUCUAUUAGCGCUGUCAACCAAAGUUUCUUUGGAGACAUUCAUACUUGACUCUCUAGUAAUUGCUCGAUCCUACCUAUCAGCUUAACCUCUUAUUUGAGCUGGCUUUACAUCUAUCCUAAGGGAAUUCAAGAGCUUAUGCUAUACUUAAAGGAAAAGUACAAUGAUCCCGAGAUCUACAUACUGAAAAUGGUAUUGAUGAAGCAAAUAAUAACUCCAAUCCCCUCAAGAAUGCCCUCAAAGAUAGUACAAGGAUAAGAUACCAUUGUCUCCAUCUUUCAUAUCUUUUGAAGUCCAUCAAGUGAUGAAUAGAACAAUGGAGGGUUUAUAUACUGCAUGCAUGUAGUCCAUCUUUCAUAUCUUCUGUAAAAAUGGAUUAAUGUAUAUGAGAUUAGUUUGAAAUGUAUGUGCAUGCAGGGAGGGGGUGAAGGUGGGGAUAGUUCGCAUGGUCAUUUCUUGAUGUGUAUGAAUGGAAUUUGUUGGUGUUAAGAAUUCAGGCUACACAGUUCGGUUUGGACUCUCCUACGUCGAUUACAAGAACAACUUGAAGAGGCGUCUCAAGUACUCUACAUGCUGGUUCAAGAUGUUCCUCCUCAAAUGAUCCAUCCACCAUUGAUGGAUCAGCCAUCUAUAUAUUGCAUGCAGUGGCG